rnacentral:rRNA from 1 species
UACGUAGGGUGCAAGCGUUGUCCGGAAUUAUUGGGCGUAAAGAGCUCGUAGGCGGUUUGUCGCGUCUGCUGUGAAAACGCGAGGCUCAACCUCGCGCCUGCAGUGGGUACGGGCAGACUGGAGUGCGGUAGGGGAGAUUGGAAUUCCUGGUGUAGCGGUGGAAUGCGCAGAUAUCAGGAGGAACACCGAUGGCGAAGGCAGAUCUCUGGGCCGACACUGACACUGAGAGACGAAAGCUAGGGGAGCAAAUGGG